UACGGAGGGUGCAAGCGUUAAUCGGAAUUACUGGGCGUAAAGCGUGCGCAGGCGGUUUGUUAAGUCCGCUGUGGAAUCCCCGAGCUCAACUUGGGAAUUGCAGUGGAUACUGGCAAGCUGGAGUAUGGUAGAGGAGGGUGGAAUUCCCGGUGUAGCAGUGAAAUGCGUAGAGAUCGGGAGGAACACCAGUGGCGAAGGCGGCCUUCUGGACCAAUACUGACGCUCAUGCACGAAAGCGUGGGGAGCAAACAGG
rnacentral:rRNA from 1 species